rnacentral:rRNA from 1 species
CCGAUAGUGAACCAGUACCGUGAGGGAAAGGCGAAAAGAACCCCGGCGAGGGGAGUGAAAAAGAACCUGAAACCGUGUACGUACAAGCAGUGGGAGCACAGAGCAAUCUGUGUGACUGCGUACCUUUUGUAUAAUGGGUCAGCGACUUAUAUUCUGUAGCAAGGUUAACCGAAUAGGGGAGCCGAAGGGAAACCGAGUCUUAACUGGG